rnacentral:rRNA from 1 species
AUACGGAGGGUGCAAGCGUUACUCGGAAUCACUGGGCGUAAAGCGCGCGCAGGCGGCUUGAUAAGUUGGAUGUGAAAGCCUACGGCUCAACCGUAGAACUGCAUCCAAAACUGUCAGGCUAGAGUGUGCGAGAGGAAGAUGGAAUUAGUUGUGUAGGGGUAAAAUCCGUAGAGAUAACUAGGAAUACCAAAAGCGAAGGCAAUCUUCUGGAACACUACUGACGCUGAGGCGCGAAGGCGUGGGGAGCAAACAGGAUUAGAAACCCCAGUAGUCC